rnacentral:rRNA from 1 species
UACGUAGGGUGCGAGCGUUGUCCGGAAUUAUUGGGCGUAAAGGGCGCGUAGGCGGCCUGGCAAGUGGAAGGUGAAAUCCCUCGGCUUAACCGAGGAACUGCCUUCCAAACUGCUUGGCUUGAGUCCGGGAGAGGUGAGUGGAAUUCCCAGUGUAGCGGUGAAAUGCGUAGAUAUUGGGAGGAACACCAGUGGCGAAGGCGGCUCACUGGACCGGAACUGACGCUGAUGCGCGAAAGCGUGGGGAGCAAACGGG